CCCCCAACCCGGGGUGUCCUGCCCGUAGUCAUAUGCUUGUCUCAAAGAUUAAGCCAUGCAUGUCUGAGUACAGACCGAUCUAAGGUGAAACCGCGAAUGGCUCAUUAAAUCAGUCAUAAUUCCUUGGGUAGUGAAAAACUUUCCUCGGAUAACUGUGGAAAAUCCAGAGCUAAUACGUGCAACUGAGCUCCGACCUCGGCGCAAGCCGUGGGAAGAGCGCAUUUAUUAGAUUCAAAACUGACCGGCGUACUCCUUCGGGAUACGCCGUUUGUCAAAAGUUUGAUGACUCCGGAUAACUAAGCCGAGCGCUACGGUCUUCAGUACCGGCGCCGUAUCUUUCAAGUGUCUGCCUUAUCAGCUUUCGAUUGUAGGUUAAACGCCUACAAUGGCUGUAACGGGUAACGGGGAAUCAGGGUUCGAUUCCGGAGAGGGAGCCUGAGAAACGGCUACCACAUCUAAGGAAGGCAGCAGGCACGCAAAUUACCCACUCCUAGCCCAGGGAGGUAGUGACGAAAAAUAACGAUGCGAGACUCUUCCGAGGCCUCGCAAUCGGAAUGAGUCUAUUAUAAAUGUAUGGACGAGGAUCCAUUGGAGGGCAAGUCUGGGCCCCCCCC
rnacentral:rRNA from 1 species